rnacentral:hammerhead_ribozyme from 1 species
AUCCAGUUGACGAGUCCCAAAUAGGACGAAACGUGUGUCAAACUGGAU